GCGGAGUAGCUCAGUUGGUUAGAGCAGCGGAAUCAUAAUCCGCGUGUCGGGGGUUCGAAUCCCUUCUCCG
rnacentral:tRNA from 1 species